AACGAACGCUGGCGGCAUGCCUAACACAUGCAAGUCGAACGAGACCUUCGGGUCUAGUGGCGUACGGGUGCGUAACGCGUGGGAACCUGCCCUUAGGUUCGGAAUAACUCCCCGAAAGGGGUGCUAAUACCGGAUAAUGUCUUCGGACCAAAGAUUUAUCGCCUUUGGAUGGGCCCGCGUUGGAUUAGCUAGUUGGUAGGGUAAAAGCCUACCAAGGCGACGAUCCAUAGCUGGUCUGAGAGGAUGAUCAGCCACACUGGGACUGAGACACGGCCCAGACUCCUACGGGAGGCAGCGGUGGGGAAUAUUGGACAAUGGGCGAAAGACUGAUCCAGCAAUGCCGCGUGAGUGAUGAAGGCCUUAGGGUUGUAAAGCUCUUUUACCCGGGAUGAUAAUGACAGUACCGGGAGAAUAAGCGCCGGCUAACUCCGUG
rnacentral:rRNA from 1 species